ACCAUGAAAUGGAGGUUUCAGAACAGGAAAGACUGAGGGGUGAAUCCAUGAUGGGAAAGGCUAAAAGGCAGGGAAGCAGUGGGAGGUCCAGUCAACUAGGGUCAGGGAAGGGCACAUCAAUGUGGCGAUGACCAAAUGAGAAAGGAGAGAUGACUCAAAAGGCCUACCUUGUGAAUGAUGAUCUUGAGUGACAGGAUGGGAGGCAGACAGUUGUCAGUGGUUCUGUUAGUCCUCCGUUCUUUCCUAGUGAGCUGGAGGCACUGGGUAGCAUUAGUACUUGGUUUCAGACUGCUCCAAGCCUUAGUUCAAAAUACUUAUAAAUCACAAGUCAUUAGAACUCCUUGGUACAGCCCAGCCCUGGAAGAAGUGAGCAGGAGUAUUAAAAAAAAAAAAAAAAAAAUGGCCAGAGUCCAGCACUGUUUGAAUUGGGAUCUUUCAAGAGUGAGGAUGUUUUCCAGGCUCUGAAGGACUUCAACUCCCUGUAGAGGCUCUAGGAAAGGAAAAGGAAG
rnacentral:lncRNA from 10 species